GAGGCAAUAACAGGUCUGUGAUGCCCUUAGAUGUUCUGGGCCGCACGCGCGCUACACUGACAAUGGCAGCAAGUAUUCACCUUGGCCGGAAGGCCUGGGUAAUCUUCUGAAACAUUGUCGUGCUGGGGAUUGUCCCUUGCAAUUAUUGGACAUGAACGAGGAAUUCCUAGUAAGCGCAAGUCAUCAGCUUGCGUUGAUUACGUCCCUGCCCUUUGUACACACCGCCCGUCGCUACUACCGAUUGAAUGGCUUAGUGAGACCUCCGGAUUGAAAGCUCUUGGGCAGCAAUGCCCGAUAGCUGUUGAGAAGUUGGUCAAACUUGGUCAUUUAGAGGAAGUAAAAGUCGUAACAAGGUAACCGUAGGUGAACCUGCGGUUGGAUCAUUAUUGAACUUUUUUCUCUCAGCUGCUUAACCGCAGUUUGGGAGAGAAUAACACCCCCCUUGUGAACCUUAUAACCGUAACUGGAGUUGGCUCCGCCGAUGUGCGCGUUCCCAAUGUCUGUUUUUUUUUGUUUGGUAGCUUUGUUUGUAUGAACGGGCUGCUGAAGGAAAAAAAAUCGAUGCUGGACAAUUCGCAUUGAGGGGCCUUCGCCAAAUGUAACCACACCUAUUAUACUGUAUUAUAUUUUGUGUCUCCAUGCGAUUCAAUCUGUGAAACGCGUAUUUAAUAAAAUACAACUUUUGACAACGGAUCUCUUGGCUCUCGCAUCGAUGAAGAACGUAGCGAAUUGCGAUAAGUAAUGUGAAUUGCAGUUUCAGUGAAUCAUCAAAUCUUUGAACGCAUAUUGCACUCUCUGGUAUUCCGGGGAGUAUGCCUGUUUGAGAACCGUUUUCACCCUCACAACCCAAUCUUGAUUUCGGUCAAGAGAGGCGAGUGGAUCUGAUUAUUCCGAGGCGCUUUAGUGAGCCUGGGUUGAUCGAAAAACAGUUGUCGGAGCCUGCGUGUUGACUGAGGUCACUCGGCAUGGUCUAAUCCUUUGAUAAACGACGUGGAUGAAUGGUAGUAAUACCUUUUCAACGUCCUUAAAUUGGAUUGGGCAGCCCGUGUGGUACACCAAACUCGGUUGCUAUUGUCCUUC
rnacentral:rRNA from 1 species